rnacentral:rRNA from 1 species
GCCAACGUCCAUACCACGUUGAAUACACCGGUUCUCGUCCGAUCACCGACGUCAAGCAACUUCGGGCGCGGUCAGUACUUGGAUGGGUGACCGCCUGGGAACACCGCGUGAUGUUGGCU